UCCAGGGUAGCCUAGUGGACAUGGCAUCUGCCCGAUAAGCGGAAGGUCGUGGGUUCGAUUCCCGCCCCUGGAC